rnacentral:rRNA from 1 species
UGCCAGCCGCCGCGGUAAUACGGAGGGGGCUAGCGUUGUUCGGAAUUACUGGGCGUAAAGCGCACGUAGGCGGAUUAGUCAGUCAGGGGUGAAAUCCCGAAGCUCAACUUCGGAACUGCCUUUGAUACUGCUUGUCUAGAGUCCGAGAGAGGUGAGUGGAAUUCCUAGUGUAGAGGUGAAAUUCGUAGAUAUUAGGAAGAACACCAGUGGCGAAGGCGGCUCACUGGCUCGGUACUGACGCUGAGGUGCGAAAGCGUGGGGAGCAAACAGGAUUAGAUA